rnacentral:rRNA from 1 species
UACGUAGGGUGCGAGCGUUAAUCGGAAUUACUGGGCGUAAAGCGUGCGCAGGCGGUUUUGUAAGCCAGAUGUGAAAUCCCCGGGCUUUAACCUGGGAAUGGCAUUUGGGACUGCAAGGCUUGAGUGCGGCAGAGGAGACUGGAAUUCCUGGUGUAGCAGUGAAAUGCGUAGAUAUCAGGAGGAACACCGAUGGCGAAGGCAGGUCUCUGGGCUGACACUGACGCUCAUGCACGAAAGCGUGGGGAGCGAAA